rnacentral:rRNA from 1 species
UACAGAGGGUGCAAGCGUUAGGCGGAAUCACUGGGCUUAAAGCGUGUGUAGGCGGAUCGUUAAGUGUCUUGUGAAAUCCCACGGCUCACCCGUGGAACGGCUGGGCAUACUGGCGAUCUUGGGCCAACUAGGGGCAACUGGAACAAGCGGUGGAGCGGUGAAAUGCGUAGAUAUCGCUUGGAACGCCAAAGGUGAAAACAGGUUGCUGGGGUUGUGCCGACGCUGAGACACGAAAGCCAGGGGAGCAAACGGG